UACGUAGGCAGCGAGCGUUGUUCGGAAUUACUGGGCGUAAAGAGUGUGUAGGCGGUGCUCCCAGUCUGUUGUGAAAUCUCCCGGCUUAACUGGGAGGGUGCAGCGGAAACUAGAGUGCUAGAGGGUGGGAGAGGUAAGCGGAAUUCCAGGUGUAGCGGUGAAAUGCGUAGAUAUCAGGAGGAACACCUGCGGCGAAGGCGGGUUGCUGGGCCGACACUGACGCUGAAGUGCGAA
rnacentral:rRNA from 1 species